rnacentral:rRNA from 1 species
GAGUUUGAUCUUGGCUCAGAGCGAACGUUAGCGGCGGGCCUAACACAUGCAAGUCGAGCGAGAAAGGGGCUUCGGCCCUGAGUAAAGCGGCGGACGGGUGAGUAACACGUAGGUAAUCUUCCCUUGAGCGGGGGACAACGGUCCGAAAGGACCGCUAAUACCGCAUACGUUUCCGAGGACUCCGGUCCUUGGAAGGAAAGCUAGGCCGCAAGGUCCGGCACUCGAGGAGGAGCCUGCGUCGCAUCAGCUAGUUGGUGGGGUAAUGGCCUACCAAGGCGAAGACGCGUAGCUGGUCUGAGAGGAUGAUCAGCCACACUGGGACUGAGACACGGCCCAGACUCCUACGGGAGGCAGCAGUGGGGAAUAUUGGACAAUGGGCGCAAGCCUGAUCCAGCCACGCCGCGUGAGUGAUGAAGGCCUUCGGUCGUAAGCUCUGUGGGGAGGGACGAACCGCUGCACGUUCAUAGCGUGCAGCAUGACGGUACC